CAAGAGUACCAAUGCAUACAUGCUAAACUUACAAUAUGAUGGUGCUGAAGAAACAGUUCUUACUACUUCAUCCCCUGAUUUAAAUUUUGGGAACAAGUAAAAAAGACUUGGCAGAUAGAGAACAGUGAUUACAAGUUACCUGCAAUAUGUACCAAGCCAAGAAAAGUGGGUCAUCUUUGGAUGCCAACCAUUUAAUGUUGAAU